rnacentral:rRNA from 1 species
GACGAACGCUGGCGGCGUGCCUAAUACAUGCAAGUCGAACGCACAGUUUAUACCGUAGCCUUCUACACCAUAGACUGUGAGUUGCGAACGCGUGAGUAACGCGUAUGUAACCUGCCUGGUACCGCGGGAUAACUAUUGUAAACGCAAGCUAAUACCGCAUAAUAUUAAAUAUUGCAUGAUAAUUAAUUAAAAGGUGCAAUUGCACCACUACCAGAUGGACCUGCGUUGUAUUAGCUAUUAGGUGAGGUAACGGCUCACCUAGGCGACGAUACAUAGCCGACCUGAGAGGGUGAUCGGCCACACUGGGACUGAGACACGGCCCAGACUCCUACGGGAGGCAGCAGUAGGGAAUCUUCGGCAAUGGACGAAAGUCUGACCGAGCAACGCCGCGUGAGUGAAGAAGGUUUUCGGAUCGUAAAGCUCUGUUGUAAGAGAAGAACGAGUGUGAGAGUGGAAAGUUCACCCUGUGACGGUAUCUUACCAGAAAGGGGCGGCUAACUACGUG